UACAGAGGUCUCAAGCGUUGUUCGGAUUUAUUGGGCGUAAAAGGCUUGUAGGUGGCCACGCCAAGUCGGAUGUGAAAUCUCCCGGCUCAACUGGGAGGGGUCAUUCGAUACUGGCGGGCUCGAGGCCGGUAGGGGGAAGUGGAAUUCCCGGUGUAGUGGUGGAAUGCGUAGAUAUCGGGAGGAACACCAGUGGCGAAGGCGGCUUCCUGGACCGGUUCUGACACUGAGGAGCGAAAGCGUGGGGAGCGAUCCGG
rnacentral:rRNA from 1 species